GACGAACGCUGGCGGCGUGCUUAACACAUGCAAGUCGAGCGGAGCGGCGAACGGGUGAGUAACGCGUGAGUAACUGCCCCCCUCUCUGGGAUAACAGUUGGAAACGGCUACUCAUACCGGCUAGUGGGGGAUGACUCGCGUCCUAUCAGCUUGUUGGUGGGGUAGGGGCCUACCAAGGCGACGGCGGGUAGCCGGCCAGGGAGGGCGACCGGCCACAUGGGGCUGCGGUACGGCCCAGACUCCUACGGGAGGCAGCAGUGGGGAAUAUUGCACAAUGGGGGAAACCCUGAUGCAGCAACGCGCGUGCGGGAUGACGGCUUUCGGGUUGUAAACCGCUUUCAGCCAUGACGCGGUAGUGGCAGAAGAAGCACCGGCUAACUACGUGCCAGCAGCCGCGGUAAUUC
rnacentral:rRNA from 1 species